AUUUCCUACCUUUCUCCAGGUUUGAUAUGACUUGGGGAAGCGACGCGUCGACUCUUCCAUCCACUCCUGUAUCCAUUGUAAAAACAGCGGAUUUCCACAAUCCAUGGAUCCGAAAAACAAAGAAAAAAACUAUUUCAUUCAAAUUAUCGAUUGUCACACGAAACAAAAGUCUAAACAAAUGGAUGUGGAUAGAAUGCGAUUUCCUAAAUUUCGUGUAAAGACAUUAG